GCCCCGGUGGUGAAACGGACAUCAUGCCUCGCUUCUAACGAGGGCGUUCCGGGUUCAAAUCCUGGUCGGGGUA
rnacentral:tRNA from 1 species